rnacentral:rRNA from 1 species
AUUGAACGCUGGCGGCAGGCCUAACACAUGCGAGUCGAGCGGAUGAAGGGAGCUUGCUCCUGGAUUCAGCGGCGGACGGGUGAGUAAUGCCUAGGAAUCUGCCUGGUAGUGGGGGAUAACGUCCGGAAACGGGCGCUAAUACCGCAUACGUCCUGAGGGAGAAAGUGGGGGAUCUUCGGACCUCACGCUAUCAGAUGAGCCUAGGUCGGAUUAGCUAGUUGGUGGGGUAAAGGCCUACCAAGGCGACGAUCCGUAACUGGUCUGAGAGGAUGAUCAGUCACACUGGAACUGAGACACGGUCCAGACUCCUACGGGAGGCAGCAGUGGGGAAUAUUGGACAAUGGGCGAAAGCCUGAUCCAGCCAUGCCGCGUGUGUGAAGAAGGUCUUCGGAUUGUAAGGCACUUUAAGUUGGGAGGAAGGGCAGUAAGUUAAUACCUUGCUGUUUUGACGUUACCAACAGAAUAAGCACCGGCUAACUUCGUG